rnacentral:rRNA from 1 species
AUGGCUGGGGUGAGUGUUGGGAUGGGGGCGAUGAACCCCCUCCUCGGCAAGCUCACUGCCUUGCUCAGUGACGAGUACAAUCUGCUCAAGAGCGUCCGCAAGGAGAUCCAGUUCCUUGAGCGCGAGCUCAGCGGCAUGCGAGUCUGGCUGGAGAGACUAGCGGACGUGGAGGAGAAACUCGAUGGCCCGGCAAAGGGUUGGAGAGACAGAGUGCGCGAUCUUAGCUACGACAUAGAAGACUGCAUCGACCGCUUCAUGGACCGCCUUGGAAGCGGAGAUGCCAAACCAAAGUUCAUGAAGAGGACGGCCCGCCGGCUCAAGACUCUGUGGGUGCGCCAUGACAUCGCUACUCAGAUCAAAGAGCUCAAAGCUCGCGUCAUGGAGGAAAGCGAGCGCCGUGACAGGUACAAGCUUGAUGAGAGUUACUACAGUGCAACGAGGGUGGUGGAGAUAGACACGCGGAUGGCUGCCAUCCACGAGGAGGUCAAGGGCUUGGUGGCAAUGGAUGGCCCAAUGAAGCACAUCAUUGCCUUGCUGAUGGAUGAGAGUAAGGAGUUGAAAGUGCUGCCGAUUGUCGGAUCGGGAGGGUUGGGGAAGACAACCCUGGCCAUGGAAGUCUACCGCAAGAUUGGAUCAGGAGGGGACUUCCAGUGCCAAGCUUGUGUGUCCGUGUCGCGCACACUUGAUCUGAUGAAGCUCCUAAAAGAUAUCUUGUCCCAGAUCAAUAAAGAUGCAUACAAAGAAUGUCAGAGUUGGGAAAAGGAACAACUAAUCCGUGAAAUCAAACAGAUCUUGACAGGAAAAAGGUACUUCAUUGUUAUUGAUGACGUAUGGAAAGAACAAGAUUGGAAAUUGGUCAAGGCAGCAUUUCCUGAGAAUAAUAAUGGUAGCAGAGUAAUUGCUACUACACGCAUUACAGGUGUAGCUAAUCUAUGUUGUUCCGUCUCAGAUGAGCAACCCUAUCAAAUGGCACCUCUAGAUGAUGUUGAUUCUCGAAGAUUGUUCUUUAAGAGAAUUUUCUACUCAAAUGAUUCAUGUCCUUCUGAACUGGAAGAAGUUUCUACAAGGAUUUUGCAAAAAUGUGGCGGACUGCCACUGGCUAUAAUUACAUUUGCAAGUUUGCUUGCUAGUAAGACACAUAACAAGGAUGAAUGGGAGAGACUGCAAGACUCCAUUGGUACUGGUUCUUCGUUUGAUAACGAUGGGAACUUAAAAAGGAUGAAAGAUAUAUUGUUACAUAGUUACUUGGAUCUUCCCCACCACCUGAAGACUUGUUUACUGUACUUGUGUAUAUAUCCAGAGGAUUGGAUGAUCGGUAUUAAAUUGUUGAAAUGCAAAUGGAUAGCGGAAGGAUUCAUUGCUACACAAUGGGGAAGUUUGGAUCAAGUAGCACAGAACUGUUUUAAUGAACUCGUUAAUAGAAAUAUGAUUCAGCCAGUUUAUGGUAAUUAUGGCAGUUCGGUGAAAUAUUGUAGGGUCCAUGAUAUGGUGCUUGACCUUAUUAUAUCUUUAUCGGAUGAAGAGAAUUUUGCCACUGUCUUAAAUGGGCGUAUAUGCAAUUCUUUCCCAAAUAAGAUACGUCGUCUGUCCAUGCAAUCUAGUGGCAAAGAGCAUAAAGGAGCAGUUCAGGCCAUUACAGAGACCAAGAUACAUAUUCGCUCAUUGACUCUGUUUGAGCCAAAUAAGCCAAUAGUACCCCAUCUUGUGGACUUCCAUGCUUUGCGGGUGUUGGAUCUUGGACGAUGUGAUUGGUUGGAAAACAAGCAUGUAAAACACAUAGGGAGUUCACGACAACUGAGGUAUUUGCGAAUUUGGGGUUCUAAAAUUACUGAGCUUCCUGGUGAAAUCGGAAAGCUGCAGCACUUAGAGACUCUGGAUUUGAGAGAGUGUUGGUCACUGGUAAGACUGCCAUCAACCGUGGUGCAGUUGCGGAAAUUGGUGCGCCUAUUUGUCAGCUAUACAGCACAAUUACCUGCAAGUGGGUUCCGGAGUCUGCAGGCCUUGGAGGAGUUAAGCUUCGGGGAAACUGACGACCCAGUGAGAUUUGCGGAGGAAGUAAACGAGUCGGGCAAGUGCAACCUUCGCUAUCUUGGUACUGGUGGAGACAUAGCCGAGCGUCUGUUCUGUAAACCAUGCUAUGCAUACCCGUGCCUCCAAGUUCUUAAAAUUCAGUCUGGAAGAAGCCUGAUGGAAAUGGUUCCCAGAGGAAUGGCCUCCCUCAAGAAUCUCGUGAAGCUAUGCAUGGAGGUGAAGAAAUUUGAUAUGGAGGGUCUCCAAGUCCUCAUGGGCAUGCCUUCUCUGGCCAAUCUUCAUCUAUGGGUUAUACAGGUCAUCAAAGAAAAGCUGACCGUGGGUAGUAAUGGAUUGAAACUGCUAAAGGCGUUCCACUUCCAAUAUAUGCCAUCCUCUCAUUUUGUAUCGGAACAAACAGCAAGCGGUGGACUGCGCAUCUCAGAAAAUAAACCAGAUGUAGUGCGUCUAACAUUUGCUCCAGGUGCUGUGCCAGCACUCCGACGCCUCCGUCUUUACUUGAACCCGAUGGAGAUGGCGUCCGACUUUUUUGUAGACUUGGGUGUCCAGCAUCUUUCAGGCCUUGCACAGCUCGAGUUCAAAAUCAAUUGUAACAGAGCAGCUCGAGGCAGGGUGGAGGCCUUGGAGUCUUCCGUUGAAAAAGCAAUCAACCUGCACCCCAACUGUGAAAUCCAUGUCCGCAGAGUCGCUGAAGCUCGCAUGUUUAAGGAUGAAAAGGAGUGGCAAGAGGCCGUCUCAAUGGAAAGAAAGGAGUUGGAAGGAUUCAUUGGUCGGGAGAAUGAGAGACGGGCCAGCAAGAACUAG